AAAAGGUUUCCGAAACGGGCCAGGCGCGAGAGAGCUUGCUCUCUUGGCGGCGAGUGGCGGACCCGGUGAGUAAUAUAUCGGAACGUGCCCAGUAGCGGGGGAUAACUACUCGAAAGAGUGGCUAAUACCGCAUACGCCCUACGGGGGAAAGGGGGGGAUCGCAAGACCUCUCACUAUUGGAGCGGCCGAUAUCGGAUUAGCUAGUUGGUGGGGUAAAGGCUCACCAAGGCAACGAUCCGUAGCUGGUUUGAGAGGACGACCAGCCACACUGGGACUGAGACACGGCCCAGACUCCUACGGGAGGCAGCAGUGGGGAAUUUUGGACAAUGGGGGAAACCCUGAUCCAGCCAUCCCGCGUGUAUGAUGAAGGCCUUCGGGUUGUAAAGUACUUUUGGCAGAGAAGAAAAGGUAUCCCCUAAUACGGGAUACUGCUGACGGUAUCUGCAGAAUAAGCACCGGCUAACUACGUGCCAGCAGCCGCGGUAAUACGUAGGGUGCAAGCGUUAAUCGGAAUGAUGUGGGCGUAAAGCGUGUGUAGGCGGUUCGGAAAGAAAGAUGUGAAAUCCCAGGGCUCAACCUUGGAACUGCAUUUUUAACUGCCGAGCUAGAGUAUGUCAGAGGGGGGUAGAAUUCCACGUGUAGCAGUGAAAUGCGUAGAUAUGUGGAGGAAUACCGAUGGCGAAGGCAGCCCCCUGGGAUAUACUGACGCCUCAGACACGAAAGCGUGGGGGAGCAACAGGAUUAGAUACCCUGGUAGUCCACGCCCUAAACGAUGUCAACUACUGUUGGGGCCGUUAGGCAUAGUAGCGCACCUAACGCGUGAACUCGACCGCCUGGGGGAGUACGGUCCCAGAUUAAACUCCAGGAAUUGACGGGACCCGCACAGCGUGGAUGAUUUUGAUUAAUUCGAUGCCACGCGAAAACCUUACUUUACCCCUUGACUGUCUGGAAGCCAAAGAAUUUUGGCCGUGUCUCCCAAGAGAACCGGAACACAGGUGCUGCAUGGCUGUCGUCAGCUCGUGUCGUGAGAUGUUGGGUUAAGUCCCGCAACGAGCGCAACCCUUGUCAUUAGUUGCUACGCAAGAGCACUCUAAUGAGACUGCCGGUGACAAACCGGAGGAAGGUGGGGAUGACGUCAAGUCCUCAUGGCCCUUAUGGGUAGGGCUUCACACGUCAUACAAUGGUCGGGACAGAGGGUCGCCAACCCGCGAGGGGGAGCCAAUCUCAGAAACCCGAUCGUAGUCCGGAUCGCAGUCUGCAACUCGACUGCGUGAAGUCGGAAUCGCUAGUAAUCGCGGAUCAGAAUGUCGCGGUGAAUACGUUCCCGGGUCUUGUACACACCGCCCGUCACACCAUGGGAGUGGGUUUCACCAGAAGUAGGUAGCCUAACCGUAAGGAGGGCGCUUACCACGGUGGGAUUCCAUGAGCUCGGGGGGAAAAGUUUG
rnacentral:rRNA from 1 species